rnacentral:rRNA from 1 species
CGGGGCAGAUAUUUUUCCUGCCACCGAAUACAUUAGCAUGGGAUAAUGGAAUAGGACCCUGACCUCCUAUUUUCAGUUGGUUUUGUUUACAGCGAGGUUAUAUCAGGGUAAUGAUUAAUAGGGAUAGUUGGGGGCAUUAAUAUUUAAUUGUCAGAGGUGAAAUUCUUGGAUUUAUGAAAGAUUAACUUCUGCGAAAGCGUUUGCCAAGGAUGUUUUCAUUAAUCAAGAACGAAAGUUAGGGGAUCGAAGACGAUCAGAUACCGUCGUAGUCUUAACCAUAAACGAUGCCGACCAGCGAUUAGGAGACGUUGAAUACAAAACACCGCUGUUAAUCCUUUCGGGGGUUAAUAGUUGGUGAAUGACUCCCCUAGCAGCUUGUGAGA